CUCUCUCUCUGUCUCCUUCUGUCUCUCUGUCUCGGACUAAUAGGUGAAUUGAUAGAUAAAUGUUCAAUAACGAGGGGCAGCACUAAGAAGAGGAAUUGGAAACGCUCGAGUCGGCUGGGAAAGUUUUCUACGGUCUUCUUCAUCCAACUCGACCAGGGCAUUGUUUUCAUCAACCCAGAAGAGAUUAGAAUGGAAUAUAUCAGAAAAUAAAUUCUAAAAUAUCGACAUAAACAGAAGAACAUCCUGAACUUUGUUGGAUGAAACUAUGGGGGAAGGACAUCCUGCAUCUUUACUUGAUUUGACACAGACCGUAUGUGUGGGAUGCCACCGCCUCAUCCGUGACAAGUACCUGCUUAGCGUCAUUGACGGCCUAUGGCAUGAGCAAUGCGUCCGGUGCGUGGCGUGUGGCGACCCGCUCAAGAACACUUGCUUUCUCCGGGACCAGAAACUGUACUGCAAGCGCGACUACGCCAAUCUGUUUGCAGUGAGAUGUGGUGGCUGUGCAGAGGCCAUCUCCCCUGCAGAGCUGGUGAUGCAUGCUGGAGCUGCAGUGGUUCAC